rnacentral:rRNA from 1 species
UACGUAGGGUGCAAGCGUUUAAUCGGAAUUACUGGGCGUAAAGCGUGCGCAGGCGGUUUUGUAAGCCAGAUGUGAAAGCCCCGGGCUAACCUGGGAAUGGCAUUUGGGACUGCAAGGCUUGAGUGACGGCAGAGGAGACUGGAAUUCCUGGUGUAGCAGUGAAAUGCGUAGAUAUCAGGAGGAAUACCGAUGGCGAAGGCAGGGUCUCUGGGCUGAC